rnacentral:lncRNA from 1 species
GGGGCUGCGCCCGCAGGGGCUGCCUUCCUCCGGUCCCGGCCGGGGCUCACCCCAAGGGUCCCGGAGACCAAAACGCCGCGUAAACACGGGAAGCAAGAGAGGGACUCGAGUUAGACGUUGAGUAGGGAGGGAUGGGUAGGGGGCGACAGUCUGGGCUGCGAGAUUCGUAGCCCGUCCCUAGAGACAGCUUUCUGGGAGCCCUGUCCUCUCCCCGGAGGAUGCAAAUUCCGGAGGGAGCCCUUGAUGCCAGGAGGAGCCUGGGACUAUCCGAUUCCAAGCAGGACGCAACCCGGGCUGGCGGGAGCGCCCUGGGAAGCGGGCAAGUUGGCUUCAAAGACGCACAGCCCUUAACAUCUUUUAGCCCACCGCUGCGUAGAGCAAGGCAGCAGCGGACACUUUUUUCCUAACUCUUUUUCAAGGGGCGUUGGGCUAAGAAAGCAGUAUCCCGCGCAUCCCAGGACUGCAAAGUGGCCGUGCACCGUCCAGGUCACCAACACUGUGUGCUCAGCAAAAGAAAUAAUGGUAACAACAUAACAGGACAGCAAGAAAGCCAGAUGGCAACACAGCACACUUUCCUGGGCAGUCUGAGUUUCUCCUAAGCACCAAGUUGACAGAAAUGCCUUGGGAAUGGGAUUGCAACCUGCACCCAUCUGUGCUCGGAUCCCUUCUCUGGAGAGAUUAGUUACUCUAUAGCAAAAGAAUUUGGAAUCUUCUGCCCCACCGGCACCAAUCCCAGCUGGCGGGAGAGACAGAGGGAAUGAACAGAGACACUGGUUUAUAAGGGACACAGAAUCAGAUGGACCGCUUCACUUCAGAGUGAUGUCAGCAGAAAUUGCAGAGUAAAGACCUCCAGAAAUCCUUCUGUCCAUAAAAACAAUGGAACGCUAGCAAAAAUUCUGAUAAUCAGCCUUGGUAGAACUCUGGAAAUUAACCAAAGGCUUGAAGUAAACUGAGAAGCAUUUAUUUAAGAAAAAUAGAUGAAUCUGAGUAAGAACAUUGAAUUGUAUGACAUUUUAACUUGCCCUAUUCACAAUGUAAGCGGACCUUUCUUACUAGAUAUCAAGAUUAUUGUUAAUUUCUAAUAAAGAAAACAACAUGUUUCAGCGACAAACAUAUAGAACGGUGGGCAGAACAAAUAGCCCAGAGAAGAAUCAUACAUAAAUGGGCACGAUAUUUGAGAGAGAGAGCAUAACAGAUCCGUGGAGAAAUGCAGACUGUUCAACAAAAGGUGCUGGAAAAGUGGGAAUCCAUGUGGGAAAAAGAAACAAAAUUGGACUACUACUACUGCAUACUGUAUCUGCCCAAAAUUCCCAGAAGAAAUAAAGAUCUAAUUGUUAAAGGCAAAACUACUAUUUUAAAGAAAUUAAUAUAAAAUUUUAUUUGUAAUUUUUGAAUAGGGAAGAAGUUCUUUAAAAAUAUAGAAUAGCUUCCAGUAUAAAAGUGAUAGAUAAGUUCAAUUACAUUAAAAUGAAACCUUUUGGUCCUCAAAGUACUAGAAGAAAGUGAAGACAAGCCACUUUAGGAGAUGUGAGAGAAGAUAUGCACAAAACAUACAAUGGACAAUUAACUUGAUUUGGGAGUAUAUAUAUAACACUCCUACGUAUGAAAAAUAUGAAACUCACCUGGCCACAUAACUCCAUGAAAAUAUGUUUAAUCUCUUUAAUAAUCAAGAAUAAGCAAAAUGAUACUGCAGUAGCUUAACACUACUAAUCACAAAGAUUUUCAAAAACUUUAAAAAUCAGAAAACACCAAUUGUAUUAGAUUGAAUUAUUGGUUUCGACACUUCAUUCCUCUGUAAUGCAAUUCCACAUGUGCAUCCUCGCUGUGGUUUCUUGGUGUGUAAAAUGAAUGUUCUUGCUCCUUGACUUUGGCCUUGUUUGCGAUUUGCUUUGACUAAUGGAAUGUCAGUGUACAUGACACAAACAGUGGCUUAAAAUGGGCUU